rnacentral:rRNA from 1 species
GACGAACGCUGGCGGCGUGCUUAACACAUGCAAGUCGUACGGUAAGGCCCUUUCGGGGGUACACGGGUGGCGACCGGGGGAGUAACACGAACGUAACCUGCCCACAACUUUAGGAUAACGCUAGGAUACUGAUGCUAAUACUGGAUCUGUGCUACUGCUGCAUGGGGGGGGUUGGAAAGCUCCGGCGGUUGUGGAUGGACUCGCGGGCUAUCGGCUUGCUGGUGGGGUAGUGGCCUACCAAGGCGGCGACGGGUAGCCGGCCUGCGAGGGUGACCGGCCAUCUUGGGACCGAGGUACGGCCCAGGCACCUACGGGUGGCAGCAGUGCGGAAUACUGCACGAGGGGCGCCAGCCUGAUGCAGCAACGCCGCGUGCGGUAUGACGGCCUUCGGGUUGUAGACCGCUUUCAGAAGGAACGAAGCUCUUUGUGACGGUACCUGCAGAAGAAGCACCGGCUAACUACGUG